rnacentral:rRNA from 1 species
GACGAACGCUGGCGGCGUGCUUAACACAUGCAAGUCGAACGCGCCUGUCCUCUGGGUUUCUGGGGGGUGGGUGAGUGGCGAACGGGUGAGUAACACGUGAGUAACCUGCCCCCUUCUUCGGGAUAACGGUCUGAAAGGGCUGCUAAUACCGGGUAUUCACUGGUCUCCGCAUGGGGUCUGGUGGAAAGGUUUUUUUCUGGUGGGGGAUGGGCUCGCGGCCUAUCAGCUUGUUGGUGGGGUGAUGGCCCACCAAGGCUUUGACGGGUAGCCGGCCUGAGAGGGUGACCGGUCACAUUGGGACGGAGAUACGGCCCAGACUCCUACGGGAGGCAGCAGUGGGGAAUAUUGCACAAUGGGCGCAAGCCUGAUGCAGCGACGCCGCGUGAGGGAUGGAGGCCUUCGGGUUGUGAACCUCUUUCGCCCGUGGUCAAGCCGCGACGUGGGUCGUGGUGAGGGUAGUGGGUAAAGAAGCGCCGGCUAACUACGUG